rnacentral:lncRNA from 1 species
AUUACCAUUCAUAUGAACUACUUCAACCCAUUGCAUCCAUUCAAAUUCAAUCCAAUUCCAUCCACUACUCCUCUCCUUUCUCUCUAUGCUUAAAACCCUAGCCAUUUUUCACACACGCAAGUUUUUUCCAAGAUCUAGUUGACUAGUUUCAGUAACAAAACACCCGGCAAAGAUCAUGACGGUGGUGCCAUAAUCAACCGAACAGGAGCUGAUGAGCUCUCCAACUGACGGCAUAUCAAAUGUCCCCUUCUCAAACCACAGUGACAAUCUAUUGGUUUCUUCUUAGGAUAAGGUCACUUGAUUUUGUUUUCUAGAUUUUUCUUUUUUAGAUCUCAAUUGUCAAUUCUUUAGUGUUUUUUUUGGGAGAUUAGAUUCUAUUUUGAUGUGUUUGCUUGUUUGUUUACAGAGUGAUACGCUGUUCAAUUUUAAAGUUGUUCAAUUUAAAGAAUCAUCCCACAACUUUAAAGCAGUUCAAUUUCUUGUUGAUCUUGUCAUUUUCAAUUUUUCGGGCUUUGUGAGAUCCUUAUUAGAUGUUGACUAGUCGGAGAAUCUCAUCUCUUCUCUCUCGCUCACUUCAUUUGCUUCCUCGAAGAGGUACAUGGAUAAAAUUAUUGUAUAUGUGAAUAUUUAUUUGUGAUUAUUCUGAGAAAAUCUUGGUCUUUUUAUUUUGGGUAUUGAACAUGCUCUACUUAUCAAAAAUCCUAGAAGAAAUGAUCAUUGCAGCGUAAGAAGUGAACUUGAAAAUUUGAAACAAAGGAAGUUUGGUAAAUUCAUUUUGACGGUUCUUUGAAGUUGGAUUGGAGGGACAGGAUUAAUGACCACCCUAAAUUUGUGUCGAUUUCGGUCUGAUAUCAAAACUAGAUUAUUUUGAAAGUUCAUAAAUUUUAAGAGUGACAACUAAAGAUGCUUGUACUCACAAGAGUCAGUCAAACAGAUUAGAAGAGAGAGAACAAAAUACACUGCUAUAGUAGUUGCAUUUUAGUUGUUUUUAAUAGAUAAAUGUAAUAGUAGAAAUGUACCUACUCUGUUAACUAUGUUGCUCGCCUUUCCUCUCUAGCUUUGUUUGUUGGUUUUCUCAUUUCAUGAUUAUUUGGUGUUUAAUGGGAGUUUUUCCAAACUGUUAACUACAAGACACAUUUGGUGUUCCAUGAUAAAAAUAGCAAGCAUAGCAAUUUCUACACAGAAAGUUCGCUUGGCCCCUAGAAAUUAUAGAAAUGGAUACCCUAGCACUCUCCAUUAAGAAUUGAUACAAUAGUUUGAAAAUUAAUUUGGAUAGUUUCAGUAAUUUUUGCAGAGUCUUGAUGGUGAGACAAGGGCAUUUACAUUGAGAGGGCAAAGGCUAGUUAACUACCAUCUUAACUGAUAUAGGUUGUUCUCUUGUACGCAGGGGCGGACCCAGAGACUUCGGACUGUGGGGUCAAAAAUGAAAUUUUUUUCGAACAACGUAUCAUUAGCGAAAAUAAAUUCAUAUGCUACUACAAUUGUAGCCUAUGCGUUUUCAUACUUUGAAAACGUCGUAUAAUUACAUCGUUAUCAAUAUUGUCAUGUACAUCACUCUCAAUAUAUGUAACCAAACUAUCACUUAACUAUUGAUCUCCCAUUCGAUUACCCAAUCAAUUCUUGACAAUCUUCAUUGUAGAAAAUACUCUUUCUACCGUAGCAGUUGCAACUGGAAGAAUUAACACCAAUGUUACAAGCCUGUAAACUAAUGGGUACACCUCAUGUUUUUUUGUUACAACCAAGGUUUCUGCAAGAUCAUUAAGGCCUUGUAACCCUUCAAAAUCUUUGUGAGUGCGCAUAUCAAUAAUAUACGUCUGAAUUUACUCUUCAACUGCCAAGAUCUCUAUUGGUUUAAAAUCUUUGGGAUAAUACUCACACAACUGAAUUAACUUAUCCUUCUUGAAAGCAGAGAAUGAAUUAUCCGGACACAAGCAUGCAACAUAAAGGAGUAAGUCACUAUUUACCUCAGAGAAACGAUCAUUUAACUCUUGAAUUUGCAUAUCGAUGAUAGCAUAGAAGAAAUCCACAUGAAAAUGAUGUAGAUUUGUAAUUUCUUGAGUGUUAAGCCAUGAACGGCCUAGAGGUAUAAACAUAUCGUCCAUAUUGGAAACAUCAAUAUUGUACCUUUCGCAAAAGCAAGAAACUGUUCUUAAAAAUGAUUCCCAUUCAUUGUCCCUCGUUGCUGGAAGUCGUUCUUUACUUAUUUUCACUAAUUUCAUAGCGUAAACAAUAUCUUGAUCUCUCCUUUGUAAUGAUUUUGACAAUUCAUCUGAAAUACCCAAUACCUUUUUCAUGAGAUGCAAACUGAAUACAAAAUCAAAUGUCAAGAUAGAUCCCAACAAAAUACGUGCUUCCCCUCGCUUUCCACAACUAGUAUCAUCAGUGGCAAUCGUCUCAACGACAUCAACUGUAGCAGAAAACAUGAUAAUCAAGUUAAGCAAAGAAUCAUAGUGAGAGCCCCAACGAGUAUCACCAGGUCGCUUACGAGUAGUUUCUUGAUUAAGGCCCUUUCCACUUGAGAUUUCACCAAGAUUUAAUGAUUCAACAACUUCAAGCCUCUUCUUCUCUCGAAGAAGAUCACAUUGCUUAGCCGAUCCACCAACAACAUGUAUUACUUUAUUCACUAAAGUAAAGAAUGUUUCAAUUUCUGCAUGCUUGCUUGCCACAGGUACAAGAGCUAGUUGUAGUUGAUAAGCAAAAUAGUGUAUAUAAAAAGCACUUGAAUUAUCUUUCAAAAUAAGUGCUUUAAGACCAUUGUACUCACCUCGCAUGUUGCUCGCCCCGUCAUAAUUUUGACCUCUUAAACUAGAUAUACUUAAGUUAAAUCGAGAGAAUAAGUGAUCAAUAGAAUCCUUAAGUGAGAGAGUUGUGGUACUAGAGACAUGUUCUAUUCCAAUAAAACGUUCUGUUACUUGUCAUUCCUAAUUCACAUAACGUAGAACAACGGACAUUUGCUUCUUUACUGAUACAUCACGAGAUUCAUCAACAAGAAUGGAAAAUAACCUGUCACCAAUAUCCCUCAUAAUAACAUCAAGUGUUUCAAAUGCAAUAGCAUUCACAAUAUCCUUUUGAAUUUUAGGUGAUGUUAACUGAAGGUUUUUCGGAGCAUUACUCAAACAAAUAUCCUUAAUCUCUUUAUUAUGAUCACAUAACCACUGCAAAAAUUCAAGAAAAUUUCCUUGAUUUCUUGAAAUUUCUGAUUCAUCAUGUCCAUGAAACAAAAGUCCUUGUCGUAGAAGUAAUCAAACACAAUCAAUUGAUGCAUUUAAACGAAUUUGAUACUCAUCUUUUGUUUUUUUCGACUUCUUAAAGAGAACACAAUCAAUAUUUUGUUUCUGAUUCACAAAAGCCUCAUACUUAAUCCGAGCUCGAUUGUGUGCACUACCACUUUUUCUGACAUGAGUUUGAAGCCUUCCUUUCUUUUUCCAAUUUGAGAACCCUCCAUCAAUAAAAGAAUCACUACCACCAUGUUCUUCAAUAUUUGGUUUGAAAAGAUAACAAUAAAAGCAAAAUAUGGCAUCUUUUGCUAUACUGUAUUCCAACCAAUCAGGAAAGUCAUUAAACCACGAAAUUUUAAAUAUACUUAAAGACGAAUCUCCAAAUUCUUUCUGUGGACACAAGUGAUUUCGAGGCUGACAUGAACCCUUUUGUACGUAUGUUCUUCGGAUUUCAUCCUGAACAUUAACAUUGUAAUUCACAAUUGGAGUUCUUAAUCUAGGAUCCAAAGGUAGUUCUGCUAAGUCAAUUUUAUCCUAAACAUCUCUUUGAUUCCUGGUAUUUGAUUCUAUUUCUUCCUGGACAUCUUGUUUUUUUGAACACUCGUUUCAGAAUUAAUUUGCUCUCCACUUAAACAUACGAAUUUUCGCUUAAAAUAUUUCUCCAUGACUGUUAAAAAAAAUAAAUUCAACACAGUUCAAUAAAUAAAUACCACAUAUCAGUUUUCAUCAAAACAUAACACUAAAUUGAUAAUAAACAACAAUUAAUUGAAUUCUAUAAACAAUUCUAAAUCCCCAAGUUAGAGAAAGCCAGCCAUUACUUACUUCAAAUUGGAAUUGAGGUCUAACUUCUAAAUUCCAGCCUUCCAGCCUCCAGCAACUUCCAGCAGUGAGCAGUCGGCACUCGACAGAUGAGCUCAGUAGUCACUACAUUGAAAAUUUUAAAUUUUGAACUAUAAUUAAUAAUUAAAAUGAUUUUUUCCAAAUUGUAAAAAAUCAAUUCCAUAUGUGAGUCAAUGACAGUGAAUAAUGAAUAUUUAAUGUGUUCAUCCAAUUUCAUUUCAUCAAUUUUAAACUUAUACAUACAAAUAACAAAUCCAAACCCUACAAGAUUAACAUACCGCGCGGUGGAACAGGAAGGCUGCUGUAGUCUUGUUCGUGUUCGGUCAAUUCGGAUUUCGUCACUUCGGUCAGAAAUCGGUGGAAAUUUAGAAAAGGAAGGCUUUGCCCUUCGCGCCUGCCGCCUGCGCCGCUGCUGUUUGGGAAAAAAUCGGUAGGGAGACAGGGAAGUGGAUUAUGGUCUUAGGUCUAUCAUCUAUGGACUAUAGAUUAAUGGAUAUGGAUAAUGGAUUGGAGUCAUUGGGCUAGCCAGGAAUUAAUUGGAACCCCAAAUAACCGUUUUCAGCAGCAAGUAAAAAAAAAAAGGAAAAAAUUAAUUGUGGGGUCAUUUGACCCCACAUGACCCCAUGUGGGUCUACCCCUGGGUGGGGAGACAGGGGAGUGGAGAGUGGAUUAUGGUCUUAGGUCUAUCAUCUAUGGACUAUGGAUUAAUGGAUAUGGAUAAUGGAUUGGAAUCAUUGGGCUAGCCGGGAAUUAAUUGGAACCCCAAAUAACCGUUUUCAGCAGAAGGAAAAAAAAUCGUGGGGUCAUUUGACCCCAUGUGGGUCCCCCCUUGCUUGUAAGAAGUCCUUCCUAUAUCGAUGCCUUCUUUCCUUUUGAGUUAAUGCAAAUGCCUUGACCACUUUUGGGAUUUUUGAAGUCUUCAAGUUUACUCUGACCACUUUUGAUUUUGAUUGUUAUUUGUUUUGGUGAGUUUCUAUUAGUUUUGGUAUAGAAAUGUAUGUUUUAUGUGGGUGGGGAUUACACUGAAGCACAAAUUAUUAUGUUUAGGACAAAAGUCUUAUCUGGGUAGAUGAUUUUACCAAUAAAGCACAGCUGCAGCUUUUGAAGAACCAAUCAAUAAAUAUGAAAAGAGAUUAGAUCUGACUAUUAAAUUGCACAAAACGUAAAUAACAUAUGAUUUGAUUGAAAUUCAAGCACAAAUACUUUUUUUUUUAACUGAUUCAAUACUUCUCUUGCAGCUCUGUUGGCCAUCAUGAAUUGUGUGGCGAGCAAAUCAAAGAAUGCAUGAAGAACGAUAGGAUUGAGUAUGUCAUUCGAAGAUUAUUCAAAAGUUUAGUAUUGCAAGUAUGGCAAUAAGUUCUUCAUGCCUAAGCUGGUCUUUUUUCUUUAGGUGGUG